rfam:Candidatus Roizmanbacteria bacterium RIFCSPLOWO2_02_FTLL_43_10 rifcsplowo2_02_scaffold_4336, whole genome shotgun sequence.
GGUCUCGUAGCUCAGCUGGUUAGAGCGUUCGGUUUACAUCCGAAAGGUCGUGGGUUCGAACCCUACCGGGACCA